UACGGAGGAUGCAAGCGUUAUCCGGAUUUAUUGGGCGUAAAGCGUCCGCAGGUGGCUAUUCAAGUCUGCUGUCAAAGCUCGGAGCUUAACUCCGAAUCGGCGGUGGAAACUGAACAGCUGGAGUGCAGUAGGGGUAGAGGGAAUUCCCAGUGUAGCGGUGAAAUGCGUAGAGAUUGGGAAGAACACCGGUGGCGAAAGCGCUCUACUGGACUGCAACUGACACUCAGGGACGAAAGCUAGGGGAGCGAAUGGG
rnacentral:rRNA from 1 species